GGGAAAUCUGGCAGGUGGUAGGUAGAGAGAGGCACUGGCUACCUUUCCUGUUGGCUCUUUGUUCAUGCUGUUGACUUUCAGGUAGACUGUCAUCUUCACCCUUCUUCUCUCACCUAAGCAUGUGAAAAGGAAGUUGAGACUUCUGAUCUGCCUGUUAUCCUGUAUCCAUGGUGGUUACAAGCACUUACCUUAGAGCCAGACUGCCUGAGUUCCUACCCCAACUCCACUGCUGCUGUGUGACACAGGGAGUCAUGUAUGGAUGUGAGAGUUGGACUAUAAAGAAAGCUGAGCACAGAAGAAUUGAUGCUUUUGAACUGUGGUGUUGGAGGAGACUCUUGAGAGUCCCUUGGACUGCAAGGAGAUCCAACCAGUCCAUCCUAAAGGAGAUCAGUCCUGAAUGUUCAUUGGAAGGUCUGAUGUUGAAGCUGAAACAGCAAUACUUUGGUCACCUAAUGUGAAGAGCUGACUCAUUUGAAAAGACCCUGAUGCUGGGAAAGAUUGAGGGCAGGAGGAGAAGGAGACGACAGAGGAUGAGAUGGUUGGAUGGCAUCACCGACUCAAUGGACGUUGGUCAUCGGAGAAAGAAUUUCAACUCACUUCAGUAUUCUUGCCUAGAGAAUCCUGUGGACGGAGGAGC
ensembl:lncRNA